rnacentral:rRNA from 1 species
AUUGAACGCUGGCGGCAGGCUUAACACAUGCAAGUCGAGCGGAGAUGAGGUGCUUGCACCUUAUCUUAGCGGCGGACGGGUGAGUAAUGCUUAGGAAUCUGCCUAUUAGUGGGGGACAACAUUCCGAAAGGAAUGCUAAUACCGCAUACGUCCUACGGGAGAAAGCAGGGGACCUUCGGGCCUUGCUCUAAUAGAUGAGCCUAAGUCGGAUUAGCUGGGUGGGGGGGUAAAGGCCUACCAAGGCGACGAUCUGUAGCGGGUAUGAGAGGGUGAGCCACCACACUCGGACUGAGGCACGGCCCAGGCUCCUGCGGGGGGCAGCAGUGGGGAAUAUUGGACAAUGGGCGGAAGGCUGAUCCAGCCAUGCCGCGUGUGUGGAGAAGGCCUUUUGGUUGUAAAGCACUUUAAGCGAGGAGGAGGCUACUAGUACUAAUACUACUGGAUAGUGGACGUUACUCGCAGAAUAAGCACUGGCUAACUCUGUGCCAGCCGCCGCCGUAAUAC